rnacentral:rRNA from 1 species
UACGUAGGGGGGCAAGCGUUGUCCGGAAUUAUUGGGCGUAAAGAGCUCGUAGGCGGUCUGUUGCGUCCGCUGUGAAAACCCGGGGCUUAACCCUGGGCUGGCAGUGGAUACGGACAGACUAGAGGUAGGUAGGGGAGAAUGGAAUUCCCGGUGUAGCGGUGAAAUGCGCAGAUAUCGGGAGGAACACCGGUGGCGAAGGCGGUUCUCUGGGCCUUACCUGACGCUGAGGAGCGAAAGCGUGGGGAGCGAACAGG